UAAUACGGAGGAUCCGAGCGUUAUCCGGAUUUAUUGGGUUUAAAGGGUGCGCAGGCGGAAUAUUAAGUCGGCGGUGAAAGUUUGCAGCUUAACUGUAAAAUUGCCGUUGAUACUGGUAUUCUUGAGUGUAUAUGAAGUAGGCGGAAUUUGUAGUGUAGCGGUGAAAUGCAUAGAUAUUACAAGGAACUCCGAUUGCGAAGGCAGCUUACUAAAUUACAACUGACGCUUAGGCACGAAGGCGUGGGUAUCAAACAGG
rnacentral:rRNA from 1 species